UUCCAUGGCAUAGUAGUUUAAGUGUUUGCCUGCUGAGCCAAAGGGUUGCUGGUUCAAUUCCAGCCAGGGAAA
rnacentral:tRNA from 1 species